GAGUAACACGUGAGUAACCUGCCCCCUUCUUCUGGAUAACCUCAUGAAAGUGGGGCUAAUACGGGAUAUUCUGGUCUGUGCGCAUGCAUGGGUUGGGAAAGGUAUUGUUCUGGUGGGGGAUGGGCUCGCGGCCUAUCAGCUUGUUGGUGGGGUGAUGGCCUACCAAGGCGGUGACGGGUAGCCGGCCUGAGAGGGUGGACGGCCACACUGGGACUGAGACACGGCCCAGACUCCUACGGGAGGCAGCAGUGGGGAAUAUUGCACAAUGGGCGCAAGCCUGAUGCAGCGACGCCGCGUGAGGGAUGGAGGCCUUCGGGUUGUGAACCUCUUUCGCCAGUGAAGCAGGCCUGCUCCUUUGUGGGUGGGUUGACGGUAGCUGGAUAAGAAGCGCCGGCUAACUACGUGCCAGCAGCCGCGGUAAUACGUAGGGCGCGAGCGUUGUCCGGAAUUAUUGGGCGUAAAGAGCUCGUAGGCGGCUGGUCGCGU
rnacentral:rRNA from 1 species